UACGGGGGGAGCAAGCGUUGUUCGGAUUUACUGGGCGUAAAGGGCGCGUAGGCGGCCACCGCAAGUCGACUGUGAAAUCUCCGGGCUUAACCCGGAAAGGUCAGCCGAUACUGCGGGGCUAGAGUGCAGAAGGGGCAACUGGAAUUCUCGGUGUAGCGGUGAAAUGCGUAGAUAUCGAGAGGAACACCUGCGGCGAAAGGCGGGUUGCUGGGCUGACACGUGACGCUGAGGCGCGAAAGCUAGGGGAGCGAACGGG
rnacentral:rRNA from 1 species